rnacentral:rRNA from 1 species
GAAAGCUUGCUUUCUUGCUGACGAGUGGCGGACGGGUGAGUAAUGCUUGGGAAUCUGGCCUAUGGAGGGGGGAUAACGACGGGAAACUGUCGCUAAUACCGCGUAUUAUCGGAAGAUGAAAGUGCGGGACUGAGAGGCCGCAUGCCAUAGGAUGAGCCCAAGUGGGAUUAGGUAGUUGGUGGGGUAAAGGCCUACCAAGCCUGCGAUCUCUAGCUGGUCUGAGAGGAUGACCAGCCACACUGGAACUGAGACACGGUCCAGACUCCUACGGGAGGCAGCAGUGGGGAAUAUUGGGCAAUGGGGGGAACCCUGACGCAGCCAUGCCGCGUGAAUGAAGAAGGCCUUAGGGUUGUAAAGUUCUUUCGGUAUUGAGGAAGGUUGAUGUGUUAAUAGCACAUCAAAUUGACGUUAAAUACAGAAGAAGCACCGGCUAACUCCGUGCCAGCAGCCGCGGUAAUACGGAGGGUGCGAGCGUUAAUCGGAAUAACUGGGCGUAAAGGGCACGCAGGCGGUUAUUUAAGUGAGGUGUGAAAGCCCCGGGCUUAACCUGGGAAUUGCAUUUCAGACUGGGUAACUAGAGUACUUUAGGGAGGGGUAGAAUUCCACGUGUAGCGGUGAAAUGCGUAGAGAUGUGGAGGAAUACCGAAGGCGAAGGCAGCCCCUUGGGAAUGUACUGACGCUCAUGUGCGAAAGCGUGGGGAGCAAACAGGAUUAGAUACCCUGGUAGUCCACGCUGUAAACGCUGUCGAUUUGGGGGUUGGGGUUUAACUCUGGCGC